AUGGGCCCGUCUGCGUUCUGCGGUCGGAGGGGGGAAGCGUCCCCGCAGCGGAGUUGCGCGUUUGGCGCACGGAGCGCGCGCGGAGCGGCGGCGUGGCGGUGCGGGCUGCUGCUCAGCUUCCUGGGUUUCUGCGCCGGUUUGGAGGACGACUGUGUCCUCGGUAUAGUCGGACAGCUGGUCUCGCUGCCCUGCGUCCUCCCCCAGCUAGUGGCCGCGGUGAACGUCAGCAUCGCGUGGCGGAGGGGCGAGGAGGUGGUGCUGAGGUCGGCGUGGAUGGACGACGGCGACGUGGAGGAAUGGAGCGUCAACAGGGCCACGACCCCGGGGGACGCCGCGCUGACGGGGAACCUGUCCCUGCAGCUCCCCGCGGUGGAGGCCUCCGAGCGCCCCGUCAACUACAGCCUGCUCGUCACUUCGGGGGGGAACCAAAGCGGCGCCGAGCUGUGCGCCACGUGCCUCAGGACGGCGGCCAGCUUCAGCUCCCCGGCGCUGCGGCGGGAGGAGGGGGCGGGGCCUGGGGGCGAGACCGCCUUCUGGUGUCACUCCAGCGGGGGUUUUCCCGCACCCGCCGUCUACUGGCUCCUCAACGACACCGAGGACCCCCCCGGCGGCUCGGUGUGGACGCUGGCGGCGGCGCUCCCGCGCUCCCUCCUCUACAACGUCACCAGCCGGCUGACGCUCAACGUCUCCGACGACGCCAGCGUGUCGUGCGUGGUGGAGAACGCCGCCCUGGGCGAGAACCUGACGUCCACCUGCAGCCUGGUGCCGGUGAGGGGAAACCCCGUGGUGACCAGCAGGGCGUCGGAGGCCAUGUGGAUCUUCAGCACGGCUCUGUGCGCGGUGGUCGGGGUCAUGGUGUCGGUGGGCGUGGUCUACCAGAUCCACCUGGACCGGAUAAGCCGGAGGAGGCGGCGCGAGUCGCUGAAGGAGCCUCCGUACAGAGGUGGGCGGGACCCGCGUUGGUGGACUCGACCUUCUCGUCCUUAG
ensembl:lncRNA